UGGGGAAUCUUGGACAAUGGGGGCAACCCUGAUCCAGCCAUGCCGCGUGAGUGAUGAAGGCCUUAGGGUCGUAAAGCUCUUUCGCCUGUGAAGAUAAUGACGGUAGCAGGUAAAGAAACCCCGGCUAACUCCGUGCCAGCAGCCGCGGUAAUACGAAGGGGGCAAGCGUUGUUCGGAAUUACUGGGCGUAAAGGGCGUGUAGGCGGUCUAAUCAGUCAGUGGUGAAAGCCCUGGGCUCAACCCAGGAAUUGCCUUUGAUACUGUUAGACUAGAGUUCGGGAGAGGAUAGUGGAAUUCCCAGUGUAGAGGUGAAAUUCGUAGAUAUUGGGAAGAACACCAGUGGCGAAGGCGGCUAUCUGGACCGAUACUGACGCUGAGGCGCGAAAGCGUGGGGAGCAAACAGGAUUAGAUACCCUGGUAGUCCACACCGUAAACGAUGAAUGCCAGUCGUCGGGUAGCAUGCUAUUCGGUGACACACCUAAC
rnacentral:rRNA from 1 species